GGAGAAAUUGCUUUCCAGCAGGGAGGGAGAGAGAUUGGAGCAUGCACUAAGGAACAGUUAUAUUUGUGAUAAAACUUGAUUGGUUAUUAGUCGAGAAGAUCCUUCUUAGCUGGAGACAUGUACAUACAAAUAUAAAGGAGACUUGCACUAUGCUGUUGCAUAAAAAAGUGAUUUAAUUUGAAAAAGCUUGAGCAGAAGACCAGAGUGGGAUAACUGGAGGAGUCAGAUACACUUGCUAAAAUUAACUUAUUAGAAUUAACACUUGCAAAAUUGUAUAAUUUACAUUCAAAAAAUGAAGAAUACAAAACAUGAAGAUCUCUAUAGACAAUUGUACUACCUACUACCGAAGAUCUCUAUAGACAAUUGUACUACCUACUACCCCAGGCCAAAAAAAAAAAAAAAAAGAGGGAGGAAAAAAAUCAAACCAAAACCAAAACCAAAAACCCAUUGGAAGAUAGAUAAUAAAAUGAAAGAAUAAUGACAUUUAGCAUUGUAUCUGUAGAUUUGGAAAUGAGUUUUGGCUGAGAAUGUGUUAAGCAGAGUCAUAAGAGAUGAUGGUCUGAAAUACAAGCUAAAAGAGCAUAGGGAGUCUUGCUGGAAUAGAACCUUCCUGACUGAUUUUUGGCUAUUUAUAAAUAUGGGAGAGAACUGGGUUGAUAGUGAGAUAUUGCUAGAGUUUGUGGUUUUUGAAUGAAGCAUUUGAAGUGAAAUGAGUGUGAUUGAAAAUAUAGGUGGGAUAAGAUAAUGGCAGAGAUUACAUUCAUUGACAGGAAGUCAGGAUUUUCCUUGUGAGUGAUAGGAAGCAUUCAAAGGAUUCAGCCAAGAAGCAUCAGAGGAAGAAGUGCAGAAAUGCUCUACUGGAGCAUUUGUAUUCCUUAAUGAUUGUGUGUCAAUCAAAAUGAAAAAUCUCCAUGUCUGUAUUUUCUUCUAAGAAUGUGGAGAGUGGAUUUCAAGUUCGUCAGGUGUAGAAACAGAACCAUGAACCAAAGAAGAGGAGUCUUUGGAAUUUUCUAAGACCCCACAAAAAUGUGGAAAUGUAAAACAAAGUAGAAAUAAUAAUGUGUAUAAAAUCUGGAUAACGUUACCAAUGCAAAUUGAGUGCUUGACUCUAUAUUCAGAGGAAAGCUGUCUUGGCUUGAAUUUUUUAGAAGCAGACCCUGAGAUGAGAAUUUAAGUGGUAGCAGUUUAAUUUGGAAAGGAAGAAAAUGCCAUCAGG
rnacentral:lncRNA from 1 species